AGAGUAAAAGUGAACUGACUAUUCUUAGCCUAGUUUCUAGGAUAAUUAUCUCUCUUUACUGCAUCUUUCCUCUCCAGGUUGCGUGGCAAUUAAUAUUUAGUUGUGUACUUUCCUCUCUGUGUCUCUUAAGGGAAGUCGUAGCACCUUUUCAAAAGAAGGAAAGAAGAGGAUUUCAUGAGAGGCUAAUCUGAAACUGAACUCACCGUGCCUGGCAGGUGACAAGUAGAACCUUCAGAAGCCUUAUCUGACCACUUCAUCUACCAGCAACAAACAAGGCGAAUCUGUGACCAUCAUGGAGCAAGGCAGAAAACAAGAUGACUCUAAAGUUCAGCACAAACCAAACCAUAAACGUAACAAAGUGUCCACCUCUCCAGCUCAAAGAAAUGACUGCUUCUUUACCAAUUACAGCCUGAAUCCUUUUGUGCCCCUCACCUCAGAGUGAUAAAAAUUAUUAAGGUAUAAUAGGAUCACUCCUGCUCUAGUACCCAAUAAAGGAAAACCACACUA